AUGAAGCAUUGCAGCAGCUUGUGCCUGCUGCUUCUCGUGGCACUCUGCAGCUGCUGUAAUAACUUGGCCCGCGCAAAGCCACAGAUCCUCUUCCAGGGCUUCAACUGGGAGUCGUGGAAGAAGCAGGGGGGCUGGUACAACCACCUCAAGGCCCUGGUUGGCGACAUCGCCGACGCCGGCGUCACCCACGUCUGGCUCGACUGGGGCCCCGCCGAGGUCUGCGCCGACGACGCCACGUACUCGGACGGCACGGGGCACCGCGACACCGGCGACGGCUUCGACGCGGCGCCCGACGUCGACCACCUCAGCCCGCGGGUGCAGAGGGAGCUCUCCGACUGGCUCCGCUGGCUCAGGACCGACGUCAGAUUCGACGGCUGGCGCCUCGACUUCGUCAAGGGCUACUCUCCCGCCGUCGCCAGGAACUACAUCGACGACGUCAAGCCGAGCUUCGUGGUGGCGGAGGUAUGGAACCCGCUGGCCUACGACGGCGACGGCAGGCCGUCGCACAACCAGGACCUGUGCCGGCAGGGGCUGGUGGACUGGGUGGAGGCGGCGUCGCCGUCGGUCAUGGCGUUCGACUUCGCCACCAAGGGGGUGCUGCAGGCGGGCGUGCAGGGCGAGCUGUGGCGGCUGCGCGACCGGUCCGGGAAGGCGGCCGGCAUGAUCGGCUGGCUGCCGGAGAGGGCCGUCACGUUCGUCGACAACCACGACACCGGGUCCACGCAGAAGCUGUGGCCGUUCCCGGCGGACAAGGUGAUGCAGGGCUACGCCUACAUCCUCACCCACCCCGGGCCCCCCUGCAUCUUCUACGACCACAUGUUCGAGUGGAACCUGAAGGUGGAGCUGACCAAGCUGACGGCGAUCAGGGCGCGGAACGGCGUCCACGCCGGGAGCAAGCUGCGGAUCCUCGUCGCCGACGCCGACCUGUACGUGGCCGUCGUCGACGAGAGGGUGAUCGUCAAGAUCGGGACGAGGUACGACGUGGGUGGCGUGGUGCCGUCGGAUUUCCACAUCGCGGCGCACGGCAAGGACUACUGCGUCUGGGAGAAAGGCAGCCUCCGUGUCCCGGCCGGGAGGCACCUCUGA
rnacentral:rRNA from 1 species